rnacentral:misc_RNA from 1 species
GUCACAUUUACAUAGUUUUAAGCCAGGCUUGAUGCAAUUCACAAUGAUGAAAAGAAAUACAGGCGAAACGUUUAUGUAGAUUUAUUUAGCAUUGGUCUGGAAGACCAUUUUUCCUUACAUUAGUAUUCUUAUCUUUUGGGAUCACCUUAUUCAGAUGCACAUUUUACAUUACAGUGAUAGAACAACUAGAGUUCAAGCUGGAGCCUCAGCACUAGAAGGAACAACCUUAUGGACAUAAACAGGAUCCCCAACCUUGACUAUCUUGCCUUUUCCAUGGCUAAGAGCGUCGGAACAAACCAUGUUCUGUCCAAAAUAUACCUUCCCUUGUUGUUUCGUAUUCGGACGCAAGGCCUUAUCGGAUCGAAAUUUCAAGAGAGUUUCUGUUGGCUCAGAGCCUGCUACUGCUGUUUCUUGAUUUAUGGUAGGUACCUUACAGCGAGAGCAUAGUUUGACACCCUCAAAUGUUAGCUUAUUGAUUCGGAUCUCCUUCCACAAAUCCUCAGCAAAUGGUUCACAUCCAUCAACAAGGACAUUGGGUCUAAAACGAUUUACUGGAAUAGGCUCCUUGAGAAGAGAAUUUAACGCAUUCAACGAUCCCUGGGAUAGCAUGAGGUAUGGAUAUCCAUCAGAAAACAUAACAUUGUAUCCUUGAGCAUAAUUAGGAUCUACAACUCUCAUUUCCUUAACUUCACUAAAGCGAACUAGCCGACUUGGUUUCCCCAGAUGUGUGGAGAACCACAUAGCUGCCUCAGCUCCCUCGUCCAAGGCAGAACCAGACCACUCCCAGACCGAGACACCAUCCGACACUACAGAUGGGUCACUUAGAGGAAUUUUCAGUGGAUCCAUACCGGGAGCUCUGAUAACUAGAUAAGAGUCAUUAUUUGGUUCCCAGCCUUCAGAAAAGGCCUCAAUUGGCAAUGCCACUUCGACAAGAGCAAGCUUUGGUUCAACUCUU